UACGGAGGGUGCAAGCGUUGUUCGGAAUCACUGGGCGUAAAGCGCGUGUAGGCGGCCUUCUAAGUCUGGUGUGAAAGCCCGGGGCUUACCCCCGGAAGUGCACUGGAUACUGGAAGACUAGAGUACCGGAGAGGAGGGUGGAAUUCCUGGUGUAGCGGUGAAAUGCGUAGAUAUCUGGAGGAACACCGGUGGCGAAGGCGACAUCCUGGACCGGUAUUGACGCUGAGGCGCGAAAGCCAGGGGAGCAAACGGG
rnacentral:rRNA from 1 species